GGAAGUAAAAGUCGUAACAAGGUUUCCGUAGGUGAACCUGCGGAAGGAUCAUUAACGAGUAAACAGGGGAGUUGUAGCUGGCCGCAAGGCAUGUGCACGCUCUCUACUCAAUCCAACCUUACACCUGUGCACCUAUUGUAGGUCGAGUGGCUGGACUUGUUCUGGUCGCUCUUCCUAUGUUUUACACAUACACUUGUAGUCUCAGAAUGUAAUCCGCGUAUAACGCAUUAUAAAACAACUUUCAACAACGGAUCUCUUGGCUCUCGCAUCGAUGAAGAACGCAGCGAAAUGCGAUAAGUAAUGUGAAUUGCAGAAUUCAGUGAAUCAUCGAAUCUUUGAACGCACCUUGCGCUCCUUGGUAUUCCGAGGAGCAUGCCUGUUUGAGUGUCAUGAAUAUCUCAACUCAUCCGGUUUUUAUUAACUGUGGUGGGCUUGGACUUGGAGGUAUGCUGGCUGACUAGUCGGCUCCUCUCUAAAUGUAUUAGCUGGACCUGUUACGGAUCAGUACUCGGUGUGAUAAUUGUCUACGCCGUGUCUGUGAAGUGCUUGAAUGGACUAGCUUCUAACCGUCUUCGGACAACUACUGACAUUUUGACCUCAAAUCAGGUAGGAUUACCCGCUGAACUUAAGCAU
rnacentral:rRNA from 1 species